GUGAUAUCUAACUAUCAAACGAUGGAAAAAGGAAGCAGGAACUACAUAAAAAUAAUUUUAUGGAGAUUCCCGGGGAAGUCAAUUCUACUAUAAACGAUCUCUAUACCACUUUCCAAUUUUCAAAAGAAUAAUCAAUCUUCUUCACAGUUUGUCUUCUUUAAUCCUAUCCCUGCACAGCUUGUUGCCCAGCACCUCCAUGAAUGAGCAUCACUGAGCAGUGAUGAUGGACCAUGUACCAUCUCCCAUUAUGGAGUUCAAACACGUUAGUCACGGUACCUGAUCCCAUAUUAAGAUAAGCUUUCAUAGUCACCCAAGCCGAAUCUGUCAUCACUCUUGCCUUCACGUCUCUAAUUUCAAAAUCAACAUUCUGCU
rnacentral:misc_RNA from 1 species